rnacentral:rRNA from 1 species
AAAGGAAUUGACGGGGACCCGCACAAGCGGUGGAGCAUGUGGUUUAAUUCGAAGCAACGCGAAGAACCUUACCAAGGCUUGACAUCCCACUGAAGUACUCGUAAUGGAGUAGUUCCUUCGGGACAGUGGAGACAGGUGGUGCAUGGUUGUCGUCAGCUCGUGUCGUGAGAUGUUGGGUUAAGUCCCGCAACGAGCGCAACCCUUAUCUUUAGUAACCAGCACGUAAAGGUGGGGACUCUAGAGAGACUGCCGGGGUGAACCCGGAGGAAGGUGGGGAUGACGUCAAAUCAUCAUGCCCCUUAUGUCUUGGGCAACACACGUGCUACAAUGGCUGCGACAGAGGGAAGCAAAGGGGUGACCUGAAGCAAACCCCAAAAAAGCAGUCCCAGUUCGGAUUGUAGUCUGCAACUCGACUACAUGAAGUCGGAAUCGCUAGUAAUCGCGAAUCAGCAUGUCGCGGUGAAUACGUUCCCGGGUCUUGUACACACCGCCCGU